rnacentral:rRNA from 1 species
AACGAACGCUGGCGGCAUGCCUAACACAUGCAAGUCGAACGAGACCUUCGGGUCUAGUGGCGCACGGGUGCGUAACGCGUGGGAAUCUGCCCUUGGGUUCGGAAUAACAGUUAGAAAUGACUGCUAAUACCGGAUGAUGACUUCGGUCCAAAGAUUUAUCGCCCAAGGAUGAGCCCGCGAAGGAUUAGCUAGUUGGUGAGGUAAAGGCUCACCAAGGCGACGAUCCUUAGCUGGUCUGAGAGGAUGAUCAGCCACACUGGGACUGAGACACGGCCCAGAAUCCGACGGGAGGCAGCAGUGGGGAAUAUUGGACAAUGGGUGAAAGCCUGAUCCAGCAAUGCCGCGUGAGUGAUGAAGGCCUUCGGGUUGUAAAGCUCUUUUACCAGGGAUGAUAAUGACAGUACCUGGAGAAUAAGCUCCGGCUAACUCCGUGCCAGCAGCCGCGGUAAGAC